UAUAAAACAAAUAAUGAAUGUUUUCAUUCGUGCAAUGGUAAGAAUAUUUUCAUUCGAUGAAAGAUGGAAUGUUCCAUCUUUCACCUCAUGAAAAUAUUCAUACCAUUGCACUCAUAAACAUUCAUUAUUUGUAUAUUG